rnacentral:lncRNA from 1 species
CUACCACCCUAAGGAGUAGCUUAUCUAUGAGUCUAGGAAGGACAUGAACAUGCUAUUGUUUUCCCCAUGUUAUCUUCUGAAUUUCAACCCUUCCUCAAAGAGCAGAGGACUGGACAGUUAGGGCAAGGAGCAUGUGGUUACAAAGAGGCUCUGUUCUCAGACUCCAAGGGCUGAGGUGGUCUUUACUGACGUUGCUGAUCCUGUGUCGCCAACCUCACCUUCUGUACCUGUGUUGCCAACUCAGGCCUUCUGGGACACUGCUGAUGAGUCUGGGUGAGUUCAGGACCUGAUUAUCACUAGACACUGGAGGUGCAUCACACAAGAACUUUAUCAUCAUUUAUCAUCCACAGAAUGGAGAGUCCAAGGUCAAGAGCCAAGUGCUCCUGGAUAUUUGUCUGUCCUCCCAGUGUAUUGGCCCGCUGUCUCAUCCAUCUUUGUUAGUGACCAGGCAAGACACCAUAAAUUGUCUCUACCCAAGUGUUUUUCCCUCUAAAUAACAUAAGGAAUAUUGAUG